rnacentral:rRNA from 1 species
AUUGAACGCUGGCGGCAGGCUUAACACAUGCAAGUCGAGCGGGGGAAGGUAGCUUGCUACCGGACCUAGCGGCGGACGGGUGAGUAAUGCCUAGGAAUCUGCCUAUUAGUGGGGGACAACAUCUCGAAAGGGAUGCUAAUACCGCAUACGUCCUACGGGAGAAAGCAGGGGAUCUUCGGACCUUGCGCUAAUAGAUGAGCCUAGGUCGGAUUCGCUAGUUGGUGGGGUAAAGGCCUACUAAGGCGACGAGCUUUAGCGGGUCUGAGAGGAUGAGCCGCCAACAUGGGACGGAGACACGGCCCAGACUCCUACGGGAGGCAGCAGUGGGGAAUAUUGGACAAGGGGGGGAACCCUGAUCCAGCCAUGCCGCGUGUGUGAAGAAGGCCUUAUGGUUGUAAAGCACUUUAAGCGAGGAGGAGGCUACUCUAGUUAAUACCUAGGGAUAGUGGACGUUACUCGCAGAAUAAGCACCGGCUAACUCUGUGCCAGCCGCCGCCGUAA